rnacentral:rRNA from 1 species
AGCCAGACUCCUACGGGAGGCAGCAGUGGGGGAUAUUGCACAAUGGGGGAAACCCUGAUGCAGCGACGCCGCGUGUGGGAAGACGGUCCUCUGGAUUGUAAACCACUGUCCCCAGGGACGAAAAUGACGGUACCUGGGGAGGAAGCUCCGGCUAACUACGUGCCAGCAGCCGCGGUAAUACGUAGGGAGCGAGCGUUGUCCGGAUUUACUGGGUGUAAAGGGAGCGUAGACGGCAGCGCAAGUCUGGAGUGAAAUGCCGGGGCCCAACCCCGGAACUGCUUUGGAAACUGUGCAGCUGGAGUGCAGGAGAGGUAAGCGGAAUUCCUAGUGUAGCGGUGAAAUGCGUAGAUAUUAGGAGGAACACCAGUGGCGAAGGCGGCUUACUGGACUGUAACUGACGUUGAGGCUCGAAAGCGUGGGGAGCAAACAGGAUUAGAUACCCGUGUAGU